AGCAAGAAAGGUUUCCCACGGAGGAGUGAUUCUGUGGAGAAAGCUCAGGAAGCAGCAUCACUAGUAGCUCAACGAUCAGUGAAUCCUCGUGAGAUCUUCAAACAGAAGGAGAGGUCCAUGUCUACAGAAGCAGCAGCCACCAUCAACUCCCAGCCAGGCAAGUUACGGAGCCCUUUCCUCCAGGAGAGAAGUCAGGUGGAGAAUCCUGUCUCCCCUGUCCAACCUGCUGCACAAGAUGUUCCUCCUCC